rnacentral:tRNA from 1 species
GGGUUGCUAACUCAAUGGUAGAGUACUCGGCUUUUAAGUGCGGCUAGGAUCUUUUACACAUUUAGAUGAAGCGAGGGAUUCGUCCAUACUAUCGGUAAAGUUUGGAAGACCGCGACUGAUCCUGAAAGGGAAUGAAUGGAAAAAAUAGCAUGUCGUAUCAAUUAAGAGUUCUGAGAAUAUUUUAUUCUUUCCGGCUCGGUACAAAGCUUUCUUUAAAUUAUUGAAAAGGAGCAAACCGAAGUAAAUUUCAAGUUGGGUCGAAUUAAUAAAUGGAUAGGGCCCCACGGCUUCAAUUAAUUUCAUUUUUAUUAUAGGGAAAGAAAAAGCAACGAGCUUUCAUUCUGAAUUUGAAUGAUUACCCGAUCUAAUUAUACGUUAAAAAAAUAUUAGUGCCCAAUACGGGAAGGCUUUCUCCCAGGAAAAAAUAUUCUUGAUUUUUUAAUGAAUCCUAAAUAUUACCACUCUCCAUUCUAUAAUGGAAUAAUGGAGAUGUAUGUGUAUAAGAAACAGUAUAUUGAUAAAUCAAUUUCCAAAAUCAAAAGAGCGAUUGGGUUGAAAAAAAUAAAGGAUUUCUAAUCAUCAUCCUAUAACGAACAUAAAAACUUAAAAUGAAAUGGAAAAAGAGAUGAUAGAGAAUCUGUUGAUAAGUUUAUCUGGAUCCGAGGUAUCUAUUUGGUUUGUACUAUAAUACCUUGUUUUGACUGUAUCGCACUAUGUAUCAUUUAUAACCCCCAAAAUCCUCUACCUUUCAUUUAAAUAGAAUUUCAAAUGGAUAAAUUCCAAAGCUAUUUAGGGCUAGAUAGAUCUCAACAACACUACUUCUUAUAUCCACUUAUCUUUCAGGAGUAUAUUUAUGUACUUGCUCAUGAUCAUGGUUUAAAUAGAUCAAUUUUGUUGGAAAAUGCAGGUUAUGACAAUAAAUCCAGCUUACUUAUUGUGAAACGUUUAAUCAUUCGAAUGUAUGAACAGAAUCAUUUGAUUCUUUCUGUUAAUGACUCUAAACAGACUCCUUUUUUGGGGCAGACCAAUCAUUUUUAUUCGCAAAUAAUGUCAGAGGUUUCUUCAAUCAUUAUGGAAAUUCCAUUGUCUCUGCAAUUAAUAUCUUCCCUAGAAAGGAAAGGGGUAGUUCAAUCUGAAAAUUUACGAUCAAUUCAUUCAAUAUUUUCUUUUUUAGAGGACAACCUUUCACAUUUAAAUUAUGUAUUAGAUAUACUAAUACCUUACCCAGCCCAUCUGGAAAUAUUAGUUCAGGCUCUUCGCUAUUGGAUAAAAGAUGCUUCCUCUUUGCAUUUAUUAAGAUUCUUUCUCCAUCAGUGUCAUAAUUGGGAUAGUCUUAUUACUUCAAAUUCAAAGAAAGCCAGUUCUUCUUUUUCAAAAUCAAAAAGAAAUCAGAGAUUAUUCUUCUUCCUAUAUACUUUUCAUGUAUGUGAAUAUGAAUCCGGCUUCCUCUUUCUCCGUAACCAAUCUUCUCACUUACGAUCAACAUCCUCUGGAGCCCUUAUUGAACGAAUUUAUUUCUAUGGAAAAAGAGAGCACUUUCCCGGGGCUUUUCAAGCAAAUUUAUGGUUGUUCAAAGAUCCUUUCAUGCAUUAUGUUAGGUAUCAAGGAAAAUCAAUUCUUGCUUUAAAAGGGACGUUUCUUCUGAUGAAUAAAUGGAAACAUUACUUUGUCAAUUUCUGGAAAUCCUAUUUUUACCUGUGGUCUCAACCAGGAAGGAUUUAUAUAAACCAAUUAUCCAAUCAUUCCCUUGACUUUCUGGGUUAUCAUUCAAGUGUGCGGCUAAAGCCUUCAAUGGUACGUAGUCAAAUGUUAGAAAAUGCGUUUCUAAUCGAUAAUGCUAUUAAGAAGUUUGAUACUCUUGUUCCAAUUAUGCCUCUGGUUGGAUCAUUGGCUAAAUUGAAAUUUUGUAACGCAUUGGGGCAUCCUAUUGGUAAGGCGGUUUGGGCCGAUUUAUCAGAUUCUGAUAUUAUUGAGCGCUUUGGGCGUAUACACAGAAAUCUUUCUCAUUAUCAUAGUGGCUCUUCAAAAAAAAAGAGUUUGUAUCAAGUAAAGUAUAUACUUCGCCUUUCUUGCGCUAGAACUUUAGCUCGUAAGCAUAAAAGUACUGUCCGUGCUUUUUUGAAAAGAUUUGGUUCGGAAUUAUUGGAAGAAUUUUUUACGGAAGAAGAACAAGUUUUUUCCUUGACCUUUCCAAGAGUUUCUUCUAUUUUGCGAAGGUUAUCUAGAAGGCGGAUUUGGUAUUUGGAUAUUAUUUGUAUCAAUGAUUUGGUCAAUUAUGAAUGAUUCAUUAUGAAACGUUGUAAAUAAAAAUAAAUUUGAUUUUGAUCACUAAAUAAUUUAAACAAUGAAGAGCUAAAAAAAUUAUUUAUUUCUAUUCUGAAAUGUUGAUGUCGUAUGUAGUAAGCAUUAAAUCAACUGAGUAUUCAAUCUUUUUUUGCCUAAUGAAGAAACUUAGUUUUAGAUGUAUACAGAGGGAAAGCCGUGUGCAAUGAAAAAUGCAAGCACGGCUUGGGGAGGGAUUUUUACUUAUUUAAAAAGAAAAUUAUCUACUCCAUCCGACUAGUUCCGGGUUCGAAUCCCGGGCAACCCA